UACAGAGGGGGCAAGCGUUGUUCGGAAUUACUGGGCGUAAAGGGCGCGUAGGUGGCCUUCUAAGUCGAACGUGAAAUCCCUGGGCUCAACCCAGGAACUGCGUCCGAGACUGGGAGGCUUGAAUCCGGGAGAGGGAUGCGGAAUUCCAGGUGUAGCGGUGAAAUGCGUAGAUAUCUGGAGGAACACCGGUGGCGAAGGCGGCCUGCUGGGCAGUUGCUGACACUGAGGCGCGACAGCGUGGGGAGCAAACAGG
rnacentral:rRNA from 1 species